AAAUUCGUCACUUACGAUUUGCGACUUGUAAAUUGCAAAUUAGUUCGAUCGUUCAAGAUGAGACGACGUCGAAGAAAUAAUUGAAUUUCUGACUUCUUGCUUACGUCGUCGUACCGUGAAAGGGUUAACCGUAAACAUGGCAGAUUUCGCGAGACACUUUAGGGCAAAAAGAUCGAUUCUUGGCAAAGUAGACAACAGCCUUGGCCCGAAUCGGGGUCAGCUCGUGGGAUAGAAUCGAUAUCGGUCCGUGCACGCGCGUCCAGAUCCUUUGUAAAAUCAAUAGGCUCGGCUACUUAAAUGGUACCGUUCGCUGGUUAUAGUCACCGGUCGGUUACGGGCCACGGAUACGGUUACGAGAAGGCUGAAUCGAUGCGCUCUGUGAUUUACUGUUAAUCGCGAGACCACUGUUAAUCAACGUCUGGCUGCGUGCACGCCACGGCUCGAAUAUUCCUCACGCGGUUGCGCAUCGAUGGAAACAACACGUCCCGAUAUUAGCUCCGCGCCCCGUUUUUGCGCCGCUUAACCUUUCAUCCUCCUUGUCUCUCUCCUCUCUUUAUGAGCGAAAGAAAGAAAGAGAAAGAUCCGCUCGCUUACGAGCCCGAAAGCUCCGCGAGCAUUCUCACGCGUUCCGCUCGCUGUUUCUGGCCGCCUUGAAACGGAAUUAUAGCCGGCGCAGGAUUGUGUUUCGAUUUUGUUGCUUCGAGCAUUCCACGAGGCUGUCAAAUGUCAGAGUUCGAAAUAUUUUUGGAGUUCAAUUAUCUAUGUGUACGCAGUGGCUCAUGAAGCUAUUUGAACGCUUACCACGGAGAACUUUUACGUAAAUGUCGAGUCUGUUAUAUAAAACGUAUCGAAAUUCGGUUGGCCCGAGACACGGUUAUAUCGGUAAAAUUUGAAAUCAAUUUGCAAAUAUUUAUACAAGUUACGAGACGAGUUUACGGUGAUUUGGUAAAAGAAUAUCGUACAGCGUGAAUAGCCGUGUGAAAUACACAAUAAGCGCACAAGAUGUUGCCAUUGAGUAUCGAGAGGCCUAUUGAUACGAUGGGUAAUCGAACGUUUAAAUACUUUUGUGAUCUCUGAGAAACAUAUAGCUACUUUCACAGCUUCCACGUACAUUUCCUGGUUUGUUUUAAGCUCUAUCAGAGCUACCAAUUUAUAACCAUGCACGGUACUAAUGAAAUCUCAAAGUGUUUGGUAUGACAUACAUAAUAUACGUAUAAAGGAUUUCUAUAAAUAUUCGAACACUUGUGCGAGAAAUAAGCGAAGGUUUACUUUCUUUCGAGCAAUCCAGUAUUACGUUUAGUGGAAUAAUAUUGUAUAUCUACGGAUGGAGAUUUCAAGUUCUUUUUUCUAGGUAAUAGCGGGAAAGAUUAACGAAGAAAAAUCCUAUGUGACUUAAUGAAAUCUACGUAAUAUCGUUAGGCUGUGGUGAAGAAAGAUAAGUCUCGUUGAUGCAUACAACCUUUAGAUGGUAUAAUAUAUUGCAGCUUUUAGCACGUUGCUCGUCAAAUACAUCGUAUUUUAUAUCAUCAAAUGUAAUAUAAAUAAUCCAUUGCAUAACCGUCCUUUUACUGCUCGCGUCUUACUUUUGAUGCAUCAUUCGCCGGUGAAAUGUCCUCUGGUUUUUCGUGAAGCAAUUAACGUUAAAGCUAUCGACCACUAACGUAUAAAACUCGUGCUAAAGGAAUCUAGAUGCAAGCUAUAUGAAAAAGUAAGUGAUACAAGGAGAAAAGGAAACUUUAUUCGAGCAUCAACUUUA